rnacentral:sRNA from 1 species
UCUCAGGCUGUCGCGGUCCACGUCCCUGA